CUAAUACAUGCUCAAGAGAAGACAAAUGAAGCAGGCAAGGGGAAUAUACACUGUGGUGGGCGGGGUAGGAAAGGUUGGAAUUUUAAGAUUAAGUGGUCACACAUAAUCAGGCAGAUGGUACGUGCCUAAAAGGGUAGCCAGAGCAAAAUCAGAUGGAGUGGGGAAGAGAAAGGAAGUGCGCUUAUUUUAACAAGUCCUGAAGUGGAGAGAAAACCCUACGGGAAGGGGGUGAGGCAAACACUGAAUAUGGACCACUGAAGACAAACGCGGAUUUCACAUUUUGCCUAAAGACCAGUCCUUUGAGGAUGGCACAACAGAUGUUCUCCCUUUGUAACCAAAGAACCAGGCUCUGCUACUAAAACUGUCAGGCAGUUCAUCGGACACGGGUGAACACACACACACACACACACACACACACAGCUUACUGUCAGGCAGUUCAUCGGACACGGGUGAACACACACACACACACACACAGCUUACUGCCGAGGAGAAAGAAGCGUUACUAAUCCAGAGUGGAGGACUGGCCUGGGAAAUCGGGCAGAGAGAGGAGUUGUCGGAAAGAACACACCAGAAGCCCCUCCGAGCCCAGACACUGAUAGAAACCCAGCCGCUUCCCAAGCCAAUCUGCAAACCCAGGAGGCACCCACGAGUGCACAGACACACCCCCGGGGUGCAGGCGCGGUGAAGGGAGGAGAGGGGCAAGAGCUUGACCGUUAGGGCCCGAACCCCAGAACUCCCGAGGCAGGGUGUGUGCCGCGCGCGGGAAACGCCGUUCUCCGCUCCAGGCGUCGGCGGGCGGUGGCGAGAGCAGAUUUUAUAGGUUCAGAAAGUGUGUCUCAGAGGAGUUAGAGAAGACCGAUUAAUAGAUGACAGUGCUAAAGCCUGGAUCUCCUGAAUCCUGGAUGAAAGUGUCCUAAGUUAGAUUCCUGGGAAGAAAAUUCUGAGACACAUUCUGCAGGAUGAUUAUUAGGGCUCAUCCUUGGUUUCAACACCCAUAGAAGGAAGGGGGAAGAAGAAAUCGAACAGAGAGACAGAAGUCGAGAUGCAUUUCAGGCCAGGACUCUUGGCUGAACCCACAGGAGCUCUGGAGCUAGAAUGGCCCUUCAGAGUUGUCCUGAGUUGGUCUGAGAUGGCCAGUUCUUUAUAUUCCUGCAUGGGAUAGUCACUGGAUGUCCACCCCAGGAAGGGGUGUGGCCAAGACAGUCCCUAAAAUGCCCGCCAGCACUCCCUACACCUGGAGCGACAAGACCAACAUCACAGGGGGAAUGCACUGGGUGAUGGAUCACAGCGUUCAUCCCAGAAGAUGAGGAUACAGAAUUGGCUGACAACUACGUUCUAAAUGUCAGUGUUCUCCAAAAUUCAUAUGUUGAAACUUAAUUCCCAAUGUGAUGGCAUUAGGAAGUGGGGCCUUUGGGGGAGGGACUAUAGGUCAUGAGGGUGUAACCCUCAUCAAUGGGAUUAGUGUCCAGAGAGCUGCCUUGCCCUUCCACCAUGUGAGGACAUAGUGAGAAGGUGCCAUCUAUGAACUAGGAAGUGGGCGCUUACCACCAGACACCCACUCUUCUGGCAACUUGAUCUUGAAUUUCCCAGCCUCCAGAACUCUGAGAAAUCAAUUUCUGUUAAUUAUAAGCUACCCAGUCGAUAGCAUUUUGUUAAAGCUGCUGGAACUAAACUAAGACACUGACGCUUUCUGCGACAAAAAGAUAGAGUGAGUCUCUAUAGCAUACCAUGUAACAGAUGUUUUUGGAAAAAUAACCUCAUUUCAUAUGUUUCCUCAAGAUAAAAAGAAUGUCAUAACAACAAAUGAGAAAAUAGUUGCUUUAGAAAUAUUGCACCCUAUGGAGAGAGUAUUUUGGAUUUUGGUUUUUUGUUUUGUUUUUUAACUUUUGUUUUAGGUUUGGGGGUACAUAUGCAGGUUUGUUAUAUAGGUAAACUCAUGUCACAGGGGUUUGUUGUACAGAUAAUUUCCUCACCCAGGUACUAAGCCUAGUACCCAAUAGUUGCUUUUUCUCCUCCUCUCUCUCCUCCCACCCUCCACCCUCAAAUAGGCCCCAGUGUAUGUUGUUCUCUUCAUUAUGUUCAUGAAGUUGAGAGAGUGUUUUGAAAAAGAAUGUUGGAAAGCAUUUCCACUGUUAGAUGAUUUUAAGUCAAAAAGUUAUACAACAGUGUGACCUAUUUGCACACAAGCAUGGACACAGAAUUGUGUCAUAUGUUUAAAACUUUUCUAGAUCCUUUUGUGGUUCAUAAGCUUGAUGAUUGAGUUUUCGCGUCCACAUGUGAGAUGUGCCUCCCUUGAGCCUUGUCAUUGGCACAUUACCUGCCUGAUGUGAACAAUAAAAAUAAAAAAUAAAAAUUUGCUAAGCAGAGUUUCUGUGGAUUUCUAACUUAUUUAUAAAAACAAUAAAAAUGUAACAUAUUCCAUUUAGUGUUCAAGAACAACUAAGUAACAGUAAAGAUGGAAAUUUGCUAGCCGAAUUUCAAGAAAAAUCUUUGUACAGUAAGUGGAUGAGAUUGAAAAAAAUGUGUGUCACAAUUCAAAAGUCAGUCAGAAGCCUGGAUAACAUAGUGAGCCUCUGCCUCCACAAAAAUUAAAACUUAAAAAAAUUAGCCUGUAGUCCUGGCUACUUGGGAGGUUGAGGUGGGAGGAUCGCCUGAGCCCACGAGUUUGGGGCCAUGGUGAGGCGUGAUCACACCACUGCACUCCAGCCUGGGCAACAGAGCGAGACCCUGUCUAAAAAAAGAAAAGAAAAAGACAAAAGUCAGUCAGAGGGGCACUGCUUUCAUUUGGAAUUCUUCAUCUUUUUGAGGUAUUAAAGAAAAAUGAUUUCUCACCAUACUGCUGACACCAAAUGUGGGAGUGUGUGUCCACAAGACCCAAUUCUCCAACCCUCUAUACACAAACUGAGUGUCCUACAAUUCAUUUCCUUUUUUUUUUUUUUUUGAGAUGGAGUCUCAAUCUGUGGCCCAGGCUGGAGUGCAGUGGCACGAUCUCAGUUCACUGCAAACUCUGCCUCUUGG
rnacentral:lncRNA from 10 species